rnacentral:rRNA from 1 species
UACGUAGGGUGCAAGCGUUAAUCGGAAUUACUGGGCGUAAAGCGUGCGCAGGCGGUCUUGUAAGACAGAGGUGAAAUCCCCGGGCUCAACCUGGGAACUGCCUUUGUGACUGCAAGGCUUGAGUACGGCAGAGGGGGAUGGAAUUCCGCGUGUAGCAGUGAAAUGCGUAGAUAUGCGGAGGAACACCGAUGGCGAAGGCAGUCCCCUGGGCCUGUACUGACGCUCAUGCACGAAAGCGUGGGGAG